CAGCAGCCGCGGGAAUACGUAGGUGGCAAGCGUUGUCCGGAAUUAUUGAGCGUAAAGGGCUCGCAGGCGGUUUCUUAAGUCUGAUGUGAAAGCCCCCGGCUCAACCGGGGAGGGUCAUUGGAAACUGGGAAACUUGAGUGCAGAAGAGGAGAGUGGAAUUCCACGUGUAGCGGUGAAAUGCGUAGAGAUGUGGAGGAACACCAGUGGCGAAGGCGACUCUCUGGUCUGUAACUGACGCUGAGGAGCGAAAGCGUGGGGAGCGAACAGGAUUAGAUACCCCUGUAGUCCCUGUCUCUUAUAC
rnacentral:rRNA from 1 species